UGGGGAAUAUUGGACAAUGGGCGAAAGCCUGAUCCAGCCUUGCCGCGUGUGUGAAGAAGGUCUUCGGAUUUUAAAGCACUUUAAGUUGGGAGGAAGGGCAGUAAGCGAAUACCUUGCUGUUUUGACGUUACCGACAGAAUAAGCACCGGCUAACUCUGUGCCAGCAGCCGCGGUAAUACAGAGGGUGCAAGCGUUAAUCGGAAUUACUGGGCGUAAAGCGCGCGUAGGUGGUUCGUUAAGUUGAAUGUGAAAGCCCCGGGCUCAACCUGGGAACUGCAUCCGAAACUGGCGAGCUAGAGUAGGGCAGAGGGUGGUGGAAUUUCCUGUGUAGCGGUGAAAUGGGUAGAUAUAGGAAGGAACACCAGUGGCGAAGGCGACCACCUGGGCUCAUACUGACACUGAGGUGCGAAAGCGUGGGGAGCAAACAGG
rnacentral:rRNA from 1 species